rnacentral:rRNA from 1 species
UAUCUCUGUAGAGUCUGCAUAUCAAUAAGCGGAGGAAAAGAAACUAACUAGGAUUCCCUCAGUAACGGCGAGUGAAGCGGGAAGAGCUCAAAUUUGAAAUCUUCAAGGUUCUACCUUGACGAAUUGUAGUUUAAAGAAGUGUUUUCUGUUGGAGUUUUGGUAAAAGUUCUUUGGAAUAGGACAUCAUAGAGGGUGAGAAUCCCGUAUUCGACCAUUAUUUCCAGCUUUGUGAUACACUUUCAAAGAGUCGGAUUGUUUGGGAAUGCAGUCCAAAAUGGGUGGUAAAUUUCAUCUAAAGCUAAAUAUUGGCGAGAGACCGAUAGCGAACAAGUACCGUGAGGGAAAGAUGAAAAGAACUUUGAAAAGAGAGUUAAACAGUACGUGAAAUUGUCAAAAGGGAAGCGUUUGACACCAGUGUUGUUUUUCCGAAAAUCAAUUACGAAUGGCUUGAUUCUGUGUUGUAUUGACCUUAUCAGCUUUCUUCACUUUUUUCGAGUCUUUCUUAAUGCACUUUUCGGUUAACAAGUCAACAUCAAUUUCUUUUGUUGUAAGAGAGUAUUCGGAAGGUGGCUUUCUUUUCGGAGAAAGUGUUUAUAGCCCUAUACUUCUACAAUCGGAGAGAUUGAGGUCUGCAGCGUAGAUCCUUCGGGGUUAGAUACACUUGUGCUAAGUUGUAGCUUUUCAUAGACAACUUGUUGACUAUGUUUAGUCAUGCGGCUUACUCGCUUAUGCUAUUUUACCUACGCUUAGGAUGUUGAAGAUGUAGCACAUCAU